GGGGGGGUGUUCCAGGCACCCCAGUGCUUCCUGUGUCUACACCAUCUCGAAGACCAGAAUCUGGACGAUCGGGAACAAGCAAGAAGAUAGUGGUAUCCAGCAGCACGUACAUAAUCCUGCGACGUGUGAUGCGAAAGGCCGGCCUACCAACAGUCAAGCGUACCAUCCUGCAUCUUGCUAAAGGGUACCUGAGGGAACCUGGUGGUGGCGAUGGCGAUAGGGUGCACGCCGGAGGCGACAAUGUGGGUAGCGAUGGCGACACGGGUGACGCUGCGCACUUGGCCAUGCCGAGAACAUCACGGACGUUUCAUUCGCCGAU